rnacentral:rRNA from 1 species
AUUGAACGCUGGCGGCAUGCCUAACACAUGCAAGUCGAACGGCAGCACAGUAAAGAUUUCGGUCUUUAUGGGUGGCGAGUGGCGGACGGGUGAGUAAUGCGUAGGAAUCUGUCCUGGAGAGUAGGAUAACCCGAGGAAACUCGGGCUAAUACUGCAUGAUAUCGAGAGAUCACAGGCAGGGGACCCUCAGGGGCCUUGCGCUCUAGGAUGAGCCUACGUCGGAGUUAGCGAGUUGGUGGGGUAAAGGCCUACCACGGCGACGAUCCGUAGCUGGGCGAAGAGAAUGACAAGCCACACUGGAACGGGGAAACGGCCAAGACUCCUACGGGAGGAAGCAGUGGGGAGUCUUGGACAAGGGGGGAAACCCUGAUCCAGCGAUGCCGCGGGGGUGAAGAGGGCCUUCGGGUUGUAAAGCACUUUAGUUGGGGAAGAAAAGUAAUGAGUGAAUAACUGAUUGCUCGACCGGUACCAAAAGAAUAAGCACCGGCUACUCUGUGCCAGCAGCCGCCGUAA